rnacentral:lncRNA from 1 species
CUAUAUGUAUCUUGAUCAAAAGGUGAUGAUUCAGUUGAUGAUAAUUAAAAAUUUUUUCUAAUUAUCAUCCUACUUUGAUCAAAAAAUUUUUGAAUCAUCGAUCUAUGAGAUCAUAUAGGAUAUUCGCUCCCCUUAUUAGGAGUGAUCGAUCUCUUAUUGACCACUCACAACCUCUAUGCAUAUUUUAUUAUAUUCAGAAUAUCCCACAUAAGGAUCAGAGAACCAAACUAAGGAAUGAACCAAAAUAUGGAUUCAUGUACACAAAGUACCAUGGUGAUCUCAGAUCUAAGGAUCACUUACAUAACUCCAAUCAGAGAAUAAUCUGCUGACAUAUAAAUAAGACUCCAUCAGAUG